rnacentral:lncRNA from 1 species
AUGUUCUUUUAUAAUUUUUUUUUUAAUUGUCAGUUUGCAGAAUCCUAUGAGUAUUCCACCUUGGGAAAGUACUACUUGAAAUCUGUAGUGGCUACAUUCAGUGAAGGAGAGUAUGGACUUCGAGCUUACUACUGGAAUACAUUCUGGGCACCACAAGAUAUUGUUGAUUCUCUUAAAAAGUUAAUCCCAUUGGAACAAAAAGAAAUCAGUAGUAAACAAAUCCCUCACAUGUUCAGUACUUCUGGGGAGAAAGAUUUUGAUCUUGUUACAAUGGAGCUUUUUGGUAACAAUGUACUUGUCAUUUAAUAUCUAUUCUGCCUAUUUUGCUUUCUUCAGUUUGUGUCUUUGGCUUGUGUAGCUGACAGUUAUUAAAUUUCAGUUUCAGAUUCCACAGAAUAUGAUGUGAUGCUAAAAUCAGGUAAUUAUUUUUCAGUUCAAAGCAGUAUCGCUUUGGGGGAAAACAUAUAUCCUGUAAAAGGAAAAAGACAUUUUCCAAAUUAUUCUUAUAUGGGUGUAGGGCCUAUGAAACAAGCCAGAGUAAGGAUCUCCCUGGCCUAUUUUUGCACUAAAUAAGGGCUGGUUUGAAAAUGCCUUACAGCUUUUAAUCUGAUAUUCUAACUAGAGUGGUUGACGUUGAGUAGUCCCCACUGAAUUGCAGUGAGCUGUGGCUCCUUGGCAUCUUCAAAAAAGCUACUGCAUAAAAUUAUACAGAAUUUAUUUACCUUAUGACUAGAUAAUUUUGUUUAUACAUAUUUAGUGUUCAGUCAAAUACUGGAGAACUUUAGUUAGCUUUGCCUGAAUUUUCUGUACCAAACAAGCCUCAAGAUUAGCUUCCUAUACUUAGUGUUUGCAUUGCAUGAAGAUGGACGAAGAAAUGUCAAAGGAAGCAGUAGAUUUCCAUCAGAGAUAAUAGCAGUUGCAGCCAGGCCCCCUUCUCCUUGUUGCGUGUGUGAUGAACCAGUGGUGGUUGUGAAGCAUUGUGCUUCCUUGCUGGGAGCAGGGAAGCAGCCUGGAAGGGAAAGGGGUAGAUUUGUGGAAAUAAGUGACGAAGAGAUUAGAAUAGUCAAGAAGUGCAGGUAGGUGAUUGCUGCCACCUCUUCUGAAACUUUUGCCAAUAACUUAUCUUUCAACUUAACAGUUUUUCAGACACUAAUCUAGAUUCUUUUGUGUAGCGGUAUCCUUUGACCUGUAUGCCAAGCCAGGUAACAACAGAACUCUAACUCUGAUGAAUCCCAAGAAGUCUUUUUAUCAAUGGAGGUUGCGUGUUCCUUCUAACUAUGUGGUGAGACUGGUAGUUACCACUUUGCAUGGUGUCGCUCCAGAGAACUGUGCAUCACACCACUUAUCUGCAUAUGAUUUCCUUCUUCCUCUGCAGACCAAGAUCAUUGCAAGGUAUAGUAGUGCAGGACAAAGAUGUUUUUUGAGCUGUACAGAAAAUCUCUGAAACUGCAGAGUUUUAAAUUGAUAAUUAAACAGGCUUCCAAAAUGUAAAACCCUCCAAUUAGAUCUUAAUUAAAAAUCUUGAAUAAGGUAAUGAAAAGAUCUUCCAUAUUAUCCACCCCUAGUGAUGUAUAGCUCCAUCAUUUUUUUUUUUUUUGCAUUCUAUUUUUUCAGUGUUUGAUUUCAUACAAUUAUUGAUACAGAGAUAAAGGCUUUAAUUUUUUAUAGUACUGUAUUCUGUUACUUAGAAAAUAUGUCCAGUCACAGGCAAACCUCUGUUGAAAACAGGCUUUUAUCUAGAGAGGACUUCCUCCCCAAAGUCCCUUUGUAGUCCACUUGCAUAAAUGAUACCAGAUGAUCUUGAAACAGCUCUUGGGACUAAAUGUGAAUAGGCUGAAAAGUUUUGGAGCUUGUUAUCUGUUGCACAGGUGCUGCACAACACUUCUACCCUGAGCACUUGUGGCCUUUUCAGCACUACCCACUUCUCAGUACUAUUGCUGCUACUGAAGUAACCUAAUCCAGCACUGAUUUUCUGAUUCUUCUUUAGGUCUGAAAAAUAUAGGGUCCCUGUUAGGCAAGAAUAUCUGUGAUGCUGAGCCUGAGUGACUCAUCCUUGAUGUGAUGAAACUCUAGCAUUUCAUGUAGUACCAAUGAAGUGGAAGAAUGAAAGCAAAGUGGUAGGCAGGGGAACACUUCUGAAACACAGAUGGCCAAAUCAGUGUUGUUUUUGUCCAGCUUCUCAGCAAAGAUGACAGGAAUGUGAGGUUUGUUUUUUUUUUUUUCCUUUCUUUUCUUUCAUUUCAUUUCAUUUCCUUUUUUUUUUUUUUUUUUAAUGCAAUCUUUGUAAUCCAGGUGGUGUGGAUCUGGGGCCUGGUCACCUCCUGUUAUUCGUUUAACUUCAUCAAAAAAUGUAAUGUUGCUUACCUUCUCACUGGACAAAAGAGAAGAAAGGAACAUACUAAAAGCUCACUUUCAGGCAAUCCCUAAAGUCAGUAAGUGACUAAAUAUAAACAAAUGUCUUACGUAAGCAGAUUUAUUCCUCAUUACCUCAAAAAAAAAAAAAAAAAACCAACAAAAAAACAAACAAUAUUGCCCGAAUGUGUCUUGUAUCUGGGGGAAUGAAUGUUGGUAUAUAAAUCAGGCAAUUGUGAUUCUGACCCACUGACCCCCAUUUAUUAAAAUAAAUGUCUGAGAACUGAACAAGGAAUAGAGAAUAUAAUAGAAUCACUGAAUAUCCAAAGCUGGAAGGGACCCACAUGGAUCAUCAAGCCCAAGGCCACACUGGACCACCCAAAAAUCAGACCCUGUAUCUGAGAGCAUUGUGCAAACACUUGUUGAGCUCCAGCAGGCUCGGUGCCCUGACCACAGCCCUGGGGAUUCUGUCCCAGUGCCCGACCACCCUCUGGGUGUAGAACCUUUUUCUGACUCCCAGCCUGAUCCUCCCCUGUCCCAACUCCAUGCCAUUCCCUUGGGUCCUGUCUCUGUCCCCAGAGAGCAGAGCUCAGCGCCUGCCCCUCAGUUCCCCUCAUGAGAGAGCUGCAGACUGCCAUGAGGCCUCCCCUUAGCCUGCUCUGCUCGGGGCUGAACAAACCAAGGGCCCUCAGCUGCUCCUCAUACAUCUUGUCCUCUAGAUCUUUGACCAUCUUUGUAGGCCUCCUUUGGACACUGUCUCAUAGUUUUCUGUGCUUCUUAUAUUGUCGUGCCCCAUACUGCACAUGGUACUUGAGAUGAGUACCCAAACCAGUAAAGAGCAGAGUUGGGUAAUCACUUAAUCACUUUUCUUGAUCAGCUAGCAAUGCUGUGCCUGGUGAACCCCAGGAUAUGGUUGGCCCUUUUGGCUGCCAAUGCGUACUGUUAACUUACAUUCAACUUGCUGACAACCAGAGUGCCCAGAUCUCUUUCCACUGGACUGCUCUCCAGCCUCUAGUCCCCCAGUCUGUACGUGUAGCCAAACGCCCCAGUGGCAGAGUAGCACUACUACCAGUUUUGCUAACUGCUCCCCAGCUCAGGGGAAGUGUGUUGAUGAAAAAUUGAAAACGAGAGCAAACACUUCUAAUAUUAAUCUUUGAUCCUCUUCUGAAAGCACUUUUCAAUGUAGUUGACUGUAUAAGAAAAGUGGAUCCAAGUCCCAAGAAAUACAUUCCAAACCUGUGGAGUACUAUGAAUUUUUCAGAUGUUCUGGGUGAUUAGUAAAAUAUUUUGGAUGAGCCCUAAUGCUUUAUGGGAGAUAGAAAAGAUUCACAAGAGAAAGUUAACCCAUGGUUAUUUGGUACAGUCCAAAUGAAAGUUUUUGACAUUUAAGAACUCGUUUUUUUGUUUUUUGUUUUUUGUUUUUUUUUUAAUGUGGAACAAAUCAUAGAGGAUAGCAUAUCUGUAAGCUUCUGAGGAGGUUAUCCAUUUGAACUUAUGCUUCUGUGGGUGUUGUUUAAUCAAACACUCUUCCUAUGGGCAUUGCAAAUUAGAAAUACUUCGUUCUGAAGAUGUGUGCUCAGAAUUAUGUAACACCCAGUCUGUGCAUCAAAAUUAUGGUACUUUAAAAAAUUUCUUCAGUUUCACUAACAUACAUAUUUGCAUUCCUUUGUUAGCUAAAGGAAAAGCAAAAACAAUAGGGGAUGGAUAUCUAGGAGAAUUUAUGGUAGAAACUGAAACCUCAGAGAUAUUGCUAAGAAGUGGUAUGCAUUUUCAGACUGAGAAAUGACACAUUCAAACUUCCUGGUUUACAUUAAGAUAAUCAGAGUUUUCACUCAUAGAAAUUAACAAGCAUUCAAUUCAAAAAAUGUCCACAGAAAGGUCAGAAGGAAACUAGAAACAGGAGGAGGGAUGUUCUAUCGUGUACGCAUUUGAUUCGUUCUUCCAUUUCAUGUCAAAGAAUAUUUUCUUAAAAAUCCAGUCAGAGGUGUUCUGUACGUAUUCUCAAUUGAAAUUUGAUUUAAAAAAAAAAAAGUCAGAUGAGGAAGCUGGAAAUUACACGAUUCUCAGUUAAUAGAGGCAAGAACUGAGUUUAAUCAUGUUACAAAUCACUAUUCCAACUCUGCAUAGAGAAGGAUCCUAGCAAGUGAAGUGGGCUCACUAGUUUAGCGCAUUUGAGCUAACUGUGUUUGUUUUUGAUUUAUUUCUCUCCCAGUGUGUGGUGGUCAUUACAUAUCCUGGAAUGGAACUUUGAGCUCUCCUUAUUACCCGAGUUACUACCCUCCAAAUAUUGACUGCAGCUGGAUCAUCCGAGUAAGUGCUGGGAGCUUUUCUGAGUUGUGGUGACUUACUUCAAGCGAUAUAGACAUAAAACUGGCUGAAAUGUUUUUUGAUGUGGGUGAAAUGAAGGGAUAGCAUGCUAAGGCCACUGCACCUGACUUAUUCUAGUGCACCCUGUGUUUUCUUUCUUAAUGUACAUGUG